rnacentral:rRNA from 1 species
UGGUGGAGUGAUUUGUCUGGUUAAUUCCGAUAACGAACGAGACUCUGGCCUACUAACUAGUGAGUGGAUCUUCAAGUCCGCUCGACUUCUUAGAGGGACAAGCAGCGUUUAGCUGCAUGAAAAGAGCAAUAACA